rnacentral:tRNA from 1 species
ACCAGCAUGGCAUAGUGGUUAGAGUGUUGGACUAUGACUCCGGAGACCAGGGUUCAAAUCUCUGUAGAGUCA